AUAUCAGUCAUGCAUAGCAUAUCAAUAAGCGGAGGAAAAGAAACUAACUAAGGAUUCCCUCAGUAACGGCGAGUGAAGCGGGAAGAGCUCAAAUUUGAAAUCUUCAAGGUUCUACCUUGACGAAUUGUAGUUUAUAGAAGUGUUUUCUGUUGAAGUUCGGUCAAAAGUUCUUUGGAAUAGGACAUCAUAGAGGGUGAGAAUCCCGUAUUUGACGUCAUUCUCCUAGCUGUUGUGAUACACUUUCAACGAGUCGGAUUGUUUGGGAAUGCAGUCCAAAAUGGGUGGUAAAUUUCAUCUAAAGCUAAAUAUUGGCGAGAGACCGAUAGCGAACAAGUACCGUGAGGGAAAGAUGAAAAGAACUUUGAAAAGAGAGUUAAACAGUACGUGAAAUUGUCAAAAGGGAAGCGUUUGACACCAGUGUUGUUUUCUCGAAAAUCAAUUAAAAAAUGUGGAUUUUGUGUUGUAUUGACUUUAUCAGCUUUCUGCACUUUUUUCCUAUCUUUUUUAAUGCACUUUUCGUUUAACAAGUCAACAUCAAUUUCUUUUGUUGUAAAAGGGUCAUUGGAAGGUGGCUUUCUUUUCGGAGAAAGUGUUUAUAGCCUUGUACCUCUGCAAUCGGAGAGAUUGAGGUCUGCAGCGUAGAUCCUUUCUGGAUUAGAUACAUUUGUGCUAAGUUAUAGCUUUUCAUAGACAACAUUGUUGACUAUAUUUAGUCUUGUAACUUACUCGCUUAUGCUAAUUUUACCUACGCUUAGGAUGUUGAUCUCUCACAGUCGAGC
rnacentral:rRNA from 1 species